rnacentral:tRNA from 1 species
GAAGCUGUGGCUCAAGUGGUAGAGCACUAGCUUUGAAUGAAAACACCAAGCUAAAGGGACCUGAGUUCAAACCUCAGUAGUAGCA